AUUAGCUAGUUGGUGAGGUAAGGGCUCACCAAGGCGACGAUCCCUAGCUGGUCUGAGAGGAUGAUCAGCCACACUGGAACUGAGACACGGUCCAGACUCCUACGGGAGGCAGCAGUGGGGAAUAUUGCACAAUGGGCGCAAGCCUGAUGCAGCCAUGCCGCGUGUAUGAAGAAGGCCUUCGGGUUGUAAAGUACUUUCAGCAGUGAGGAAGGUGGUUGUAUUAAUAACUGCAUCAUUUGACGUUAGCUGCAGAAGAAGCACCGGCUAACUCCGUGCCAGCAGCCGCGGUAAUACGGAGGGUGCGAGCGUUAAUCGGAAUUACUGGGCGUAAAGCGCAUGCAGGUGGUCUGUUAAGUCAGAUGUGAAAGCCCGGGGCUCAACCUCGGAAUUGCAUUUGAAACUGGCAGACUAGAGUACUGUAGAGGGGGGUAGAAUUUCAGGUGUAGCGGUGAAAUGCGUAGAGAUCUGAAGGAAUACCGGUGGCGAAGGCGGCCCCCUGGACAGAUACUGACACUCAGAUGCGAAAGCGUGGGGAGCAAACAGGAUUAGAUACCC
rnacentral:rRNA from 1 species